rnacentral:rRNA from 1 species
GAUCAUGGCUCAGGAUGAACGCUAGCUACAGGCUUAACACAUGCAAGUCGAGGGGCAGCAUCAUCAAAGCUUGCUUUGAUGGAUGGCGACCGGCGCACGGGUGAGUAACACGUAUCCAACCUGCCAACAACACUGGGAUAGCCUUUCGAAAGAAAGAUUAAUACCGGAUGGCAUAAUUUUCCCGCAUGGGAUAAUUAUUAAAGAAUUUCGGUUGUCGAUGGGGAUGCGUUCCAUUAGG